rnacentral:tRNA from 1 species
GGGGUACGUGCUGGUGCACAGGCUCGCUUUGCAAGCCUGCCGCGCGGGGUUCGACUCCCCGGUACUCCA